rnacentral:rRNA from 1 species
CUGGGGGAGGGGGGGGGGGCGGGGGGGCCUUUCGGCGUCGGGCGGCCAGCGGGAUCGGGCUUUCCCCCAAUGUGGGCGGUCCCCCGGCUGCCCCCCGUGGGGAAGGCCGCCCCCCCGGACCCGGGGGGCUGAUCUUCCCCACGACCGGCGUAGGGCUAGCCUGGGUAGCCCUUCCUCGCCUGAGCCGACCUCCGCGGCUCGGCCAGAACGAUGACCCACCCCCCCGGGGAGUUACAGGGGGCCCCCGCACGGGGGCUAGCCCGGUCACCAGGGUCGCGCGUUGCAUGGCCCCCGUGGCCACUCCCCCCCCUUGGCCCUUGGCGGCCCUUGAGAUUCCCCAUGGCGGUUUGCGCCGAACGCCCAUGGAAGUUGCCUCAGCAGGGGUUGAAUGUAAAUUGCAAAGGAAGGUAAUGUUUUAUGGCCAAGUAUGCACUGGUGGGAACGUGGGGCCCAGUCAGGUAUGAUGUACCCUUAUUCCACUUCCUUGAAGUUAAGCCCUACUUCUACCUCUCAUGGCUAGGCAUCGGAUCGGUGCCCUCCUCCGAAUGUUCGGGGACUGAACCAAUGAUAAGUGAAAUUUCAUUAAAUAAUAAAAUUCACAUGUAAAGUGCAAUUCAUCUUAAUUAUAUUAAAGUGGGGGAAUUGGGAUGGGGAAUGAAUUUAAUGUGGCUUUGCUUUUUUUUUAAAUUGUACUUUAAUUGAUACUUUUUACACUUUUUAAAUUUAAGGUGAAAAAAAAGAUUCAAUUUCCUCUGACACUCACUAAUUGAUUGACAUGGUUUCUAAUUAAUUUCCUUUUGAACAAUUUUAAAUUUUUUGCAAAUUUUUAAAUUCGUAAAAUUAUAAAACUGGAAUUACCAAUUAAUGCUUACCGGCAUGGUAAAAAAUUUUUUAAAAUUGGAAAAUCCUUGAGCUGAACUUCAACUAAAGCAAUUCCCAAAAUUCUUUCUUAUUUUGUGUAUUUAAAUUGACUAUUUUAAAAACAAUGAAAAAUUUGCAAAAUGAAAAUUU